rnacentral:rRNA from 1 species
GACGAACGCUGGCGGCGUGCUUAACACAUGCAAGUCGAACGGAAAGGCCCUGCUUUUGUGGGGUGCUCGAGUGGCGAACGGGUGAGUAACACGUGAGUAACCUGCCCUUGACUUUGGGAUAACUUCAGGAAACUGGGGCUAAUACCGGAUAGGAGCUCCUGCUGCAUGGUGGGGGUUGGAAAGUUUCGGCGGUUGGGGAUGGACUCGCGGCUUAUCAGCUUGUUGGUGGGGUAGUGGCUUACCAAGGCUUUGACGGGUAGCCGGCCUGAGAGGGUGGCCGGCCACAUUGGGACUGAGGGACGGCCCAGACUCCUACGGGAGGCAGCAGUGGGGAACAUUGCACAAUGGGCGGACGCCUGAUGCAGCAACGCCGCGUGCGUGAUGACGGCUUUCGGGUUGUAAACCGCUUUCGCCUGUGACGAAGCGUGAGUGACGGUAAUGGGUAAAGAAGCACCGGCUAACUACGUG